UUAAAUAUUUGCUAACUAUUAUUGAACCAAAAUAGCUAAAAACGUACUUACUUAACUUCUUUAAUAAAAAACACUUCAACUACCUUCCUCUGCUUAUACGCCACCGCUCGAAGACUGAGCCUGUAACUUCAAUACACGUUCGCAUCGACAGGCCCGAUCGAGGAGAGCAACGGCGAUACCAGCGUCGAGGCCAGGUGUGAAUACGGCCAGACUUAAUGGGCCCUCCCAUCUCCGAGCUAAUUCCACGAUUCCGUAGACCUGAUCUGCAGUGGCGUGCGUGCAGAAGGUCACCUGAGGCAGUUUGUUCCUCUCCUCGGUUCCGCGCAAUACGAAAGGUAGAACUCUGUAGGGACUCUUCUCACCGAUUUCAGGGCUCCAGGAUGUAGACCCGCCAUAUACAUGCCUGCUGAGAAAGCAGGUGCUUCAAUUUGGAUAUCUUGUUGAGAACUUGAAUGGCUUUUUGAUAUUAAAAUAUCGGUAAUAGCCAAUAUCGGUAAAUAUAAUUCACGAGUGAUUAAGAGACGACUAAUCAGAACAAAAAGGAACAUUAAAAUGAUCCAAAUUAGGAACUUUCGACCGGAGCAACGCAUUAUUAUCGAAGAAACAAUUUUCCAUGUUCUUCAACGUGAUAAAUUCAUCGAACUAUUAUGUACAUACUUGGACAAUACUGUUCCAUUUACGGAAAGACGAGACCGUCAAUUUCGGAUCGAUGCAGCGCAGGCGUGCCUACCUUCCGUAUAAUUCGUCAGAAUUUAAACUUAUAAAAACAAAAACUUCAGCUUGAAUUAAAAAAAAA